rnacentral:rRNA from 1 species
GGCGCCCUACGGGGCGCAGCGGUGAGGGAUAUUGGUCAAUGGGGGAAACCCUGAACCAGCAACGCCGCGUGAGGGAAGACGGUUUUCGGAUUGUAAACCUCCGUCCUCUGUGAAGAUAAUGACGGUAGCAGAGGAGGAAGCUCCGGCUAACUACGUGCCAGCAGCCGCGGUAAUACGUAGGGAGCAAGCGUUGUCCGGAUUUACUGGGUGUAAAGGGUGCGUAGGCGGCUUUGCAAGUCAGAAGUGAAAUCCAUGGGCUUAACCCAUGAACUGCUUUUGAAACUGCAGAGCUUGAGUGGAGUAGG